AAUCCUGCAAAAAUCAGGAAGGCAUUCAGGAUUUUGUACAAGAAUUUCCAAAUAUUUUCUUAAAAAUUUUUGAGCAUAUACCUCAUUUUGUUGAGACUUUGGAGAUGCAGCUGAUUCAAUCAUUGUCUCCUGCAAAAAUCAGGAAUGCAUUCAAGAAGUACAAAAGCUUUCCAAAUAUUACUUCAAAACUCAACAAUAUUUAUUGGUUACAUACCUCAUGUGUCAAAUUAGGCUGUUGAGACAUUGGAGAUAAAGGUGUCUCACUCGAUGGUUGCGUGUGAGACAUUGGAGAUAAAGGUGUCCCACUGGAUCGCUGUUUGUCAAAUAUUAGGAAGGCAUUCAAGAAUAUGUACAAGAUCUUCCAAAAAAUACUUGAAAAUGCAAAUGUAAAAGAAGAUGUUUUGAGAAUUUACCUUUUGUGUCACGUUAGUGGGAAAAACAUUGUUGUUUCCUUCCAACUCUGACACACGAGCUCUAAGAUGUAUGUUUUCUUCUUCCAGUAAUGACAUUCGAUCCUUCAUGCUCUUCAGAUUCUCCUCCAUUACCGUGAUGAUCCUGUUCACUUUUUCAUUUACUGAAUCCUCAUCAAUCGGAGUAGAAGCUUGGCCAGUCUCCUUAUUUGCCAUCAUUUGAAUAAGAGCAUCCAAUGUGUCAAAUGUGUCUACACACCUAUUUUCCCAGUCAUCGGCUGUAAUCUUGUACCCUUUCUUUGUUACAUCUUUCACUGUUUCCAACUCGUCACUAUAUUUGUCUUCAAUGGAGAUAUCAUCUUCUGGAUCAUGAGGAAUAGAAGGUAGUAUGCAAUGGACCUUCAGCUGAGAAUAUUUCAAAAAAAGACCAAUGAGAAACAUAUUAAAAAGAAGAAGCCAAAUAAACUGAGAAA